UACAGAGGUCCCAAGCGUUGUUCGGAUUCACUGGGCGUAAAGGGUGCGUAGGCGGUCAGAUAAGUCUGAUGUGAAAUCUUCGAGCUCAACUCGGAAACUGCAUCGGAAACUAUCUGGCUAGAGGAUUGGAGGGGAGACUGGAAUUCUCGGUGUAGCAGUGAAAUGCGUAGAUAUCGAGAGGAACACCAGUGGCGAAGGCGAGUCUCUGGACAAUUCCUGACGCUGAAAAGCGAAAGCCAGGGGAGCAAACGGG
rnacentral:rRNA from 1 species